GACUGAUUAGAAGCUUGCUUCUAUGACGUUAGCGGCGGACGGGUGAGUAACACGUGGGCAACCUGCCUGUAAGACUGGGAUAACUUCGGGAAACCGAAGCUAAUACCGGAUAGGAUCUUCUCCUUCAUGGGAGAUGAUUGAAAGAUGGUUUCGGCUAUCACUUACAGAUGGGCCCGCGGUGCAUUAGCUAGUUGGUGAGGUAACGGCUCACCAAGGCAACGAUGCAUAGCCGACCUGAGAGGGUGAUCGGCCACACUGGGACUGAGACACGGCCCAGACUCCUACGGGAGGCAGCAGUAGGGAAUCUUCCGCAAUGGACGAAAGUCUGACGGAGCAACGCCGCGUGAGUGAUGAAGGCUUUCGGGUCGUAAAACUCUGUUGUUAGGGAAGAACAAGUACGAGAGUAACUGCUCGUACCUUGACGGUACCUAACCAGAAAGCCACGGCUAACUACGUGCCAGCAGCCGCGGUAAUACGUAGGUGGCAAGCGUUAUCCGGAAUUAUUGGGCGUAAAGCGCGCGCAGGCGGUUUCUUAAGUCUGAUGUGAAAGCCCACGGCUCAACCGUGGAGGGUCAUUGGAAACUGGGGAACUUGAGUGCAGAAGAGAAAAGCGGAAUUCCACGUGUAGCGGUGAAAUGCGUAGAGAUGUGGAGGAACACCAGUGGCGAAGGCGGCUUUUUGGUCUGUAACUGACGCUGAGGCGCGAA
rnacentral:rRNA from 1 species